AACACAUGCAAGUCGAACGAACCUUCGGGUUAGUGGCGGACGGGUGAGUAACGCGUGAGAAUCUGCCCUCAGGAGGGGGAUAACGGUUGGAAACGACCGCUAAUACCCCAUAUGCCGCGAGGUGAAAUGAAUUUCGCCUGAGGAUGAGCUCGCGUCUGAUUAGUUAGUUGGUGG
rnacentral:rRNA from 1 species